GGACGGUUAGUUCAGUUGGUUUAUAGCGCUUCGUUUACACCGAAGAAGUCGGGGGUUCAAGUCCCUCAGUGCCCACCA
rnacentral:tRNA from 1 species